GACGGGUAGCCGGCCUGAGAGGGCUGACCGGCCACACUGGGACUGAGACACGGCCCAGACUCCUACGGGAGGCAGCAGUGGGGAAUAUUGCGCAAUGGGCGAAAGCCUGACGCAGCGACGCCGCGUGGGGGAUGACGGCCUUCGGGUUGUAAACCUCUUUCAGUAGGGACGAAGCGCAAGUGACGGUACCUACAGAAGAAGCACCGGCCAACUACGUGCCAGCAGCCGCGGUAAUACGUAGGGUGCAAGCGUUGUCCGGAAUUACUGGGCGUAAAGAGCUCGUAGGUGGUUUGUCACGUCGUAUGUGAAAUCCCGAGGCUCAAC
rnacentral:rRNA from 1 species